rnacentral:lncRNA from 1 species
CACAUUGUCUUGAUCAAGAGUGUGUGAAGCUUUUGAAAAUUGUAGUUGAACUCCUUUGAUGAAGCUUUUGUUCGCACCAUAAAUUGGUUUUGCUUCACACUGUCUUGAUCAAGAGUGUGUGAAGCUUUUGAGAAUUGUGGUUUCCCUCCAUUGAUGAAGCUCUUGUUGGCACCAUAAAUUGGUUUUGCUUCACACUGUCUUGAUCAAGAGUGUGUGCAGCUUUUGAGAAUUGUGGUUGAACUCCUUUGAUGAAGCUCUUGUUGGCAACAUAAAUCGGUUUUGCUUCACAUUGUCUUGAUCAAGAGUGUGUGAAGCUUUUGAGAAUUGUGGUUGCCCUCCAUUGAUGCCAAGAGUGUGUGAAGCUUUUAAGAAUUGUGAUUACCAUCCAUUGAUGAAGCUCUUGUUGGCACCAUAAAUUGGUUUUGCUUCACACUGUCUUGAUCAAGAGUGUGUGAAGCUUUUGAGAAUUGUGGUUGAACUCCUUUGAUGAAGCUCUUGUUGGCACCAUAAAUUGGUUUUGCUUCACACUGUCUUGAUCAAGAGUGUGUGAAGCUUUUGAGAAUUGUGGUUUCCCUCCAUUGAUGAAGCUCUUGUUGGCACCAUAAAUUGGUUUUGCUUCACACUGUCUUGAUCAAGAGUGUGCCAAGCUUUUGAGAAUUAUGGUUGAACUCCUUUGAUGAAGCUCUUGUUGGCACCAUAAAUUAGUUUUUCUUCGCACUGUCUUGAUCAAGAGUGUGUGAAACUUUUGAGAAUUGUGGUUGCCCUCCAUUGAUGAAGCUAUUGUCGGCACCAUAAAUUGGUUUUGCUUCACACUGUCUUGAUCGAGAGUGUCUGAAGCUUUCUACGAGUUGUAGUGUUUGCAUUGUUACAGAGGGGAAAUGUUUGAAG